AUACGGAGGGUGCGAGCGUUAAUCGGAAUUACUGGGCGUAAAGCGCGCGCAGGCGGCCAUUUAAGUUGGAUGUGAAAGCCUACGGCUCAACCGUAGAACUGCAUCCAAAACUAUUUGGCUAGAGUGUGGGAGAGGAAGAUGGAAUUAGUUGUGUAGGGGUAAAAUCCGUAGACAUAACUAGGAAUACCAAAAGCGAAGGCAAUCUUCUGGAACAUUACUGACGCUGAGGCGCGAAAGCGUGGGGAGCAAACAGGAUUAGAAACCCCAGUAGUCC
rnacentral:rRNA from 1 species